rnacentral:rRNA from 1 species
AACGAACGCUGGCGGCAGGCCUAACACAUGCAAGUCGAGCGGUCUCUUCGGAGGCAGCGGCGGACGGGUGAGUAACGCGUGGGAAUAUGCCCUGUGGUACGGAACAACAGUUGGAAACGACUGCUAAUACCGUAUGAGCCCUUCGGGGGAAAGAUUUAUCGCCAUAGGAUUAGCCCGCGUUGGAUUAGGUAGUUGGUGGGGUAACGGCCUACCAAGCCGACGAUCCAUAGCUGGUUUGAGAGGAUGACCAGUCACACUGGGACUGAGACACGGCCCAGACUCCUACGGGAGGCAGCAGUGGGGAAUCAUAGACAAUGGGGGCAACCCUGAUCUUGCCAUGCCGCGUGGACGAUGAAGGCCUUAGGGUUGUAAAGUCCUUUCACCCGCGAAGAUAAUGACGGUAGCGGGAGAAGAAGCCCCGGCUAACUCCG